AACGGCGAGUGAAGCGGCAACAGCUCAAAUUUGAAAUCUGGUCCCCUCUGGGGGCCCGAGUUGUAAUUUGAAGAGGAUGCUUUUGGCGAGGCGCCUUCCGAGUGCCCUGGAACGGGACGCCACAGAGGGUGAGAGCCCCGUAUGGUAGGACGCCGAGCCUCUGUAAAGCUCCUUCGACGAGUCGAGUAGUUUGGGAAUGCUGCUCAAAAUGGGAGGUAAACCCCUUCUAAAGCUAAAUAUUGGCCAGAGACCGAUAGCGCACAAGUAGAGUGAUCGAAAGAUGAAAAGCACUUUGAAAAGAGAGUUAAACAGCACGUGAAAUUGUUGAAAGGGAAGCGCUUGCGACCAGACUUGCGCCCGUCGGAUCAACCGUCCCUCGUGGGCGGCGCACUCCGGCGGGCUCAGGCCAGCAUCAGUUUUCCUGGGGGUAGAAAGGCGGUGGGAAUGUAGCUCUUCGGAGUGUUAUAGCCCGCCGCGUAAUGCCCUCGGGGGGACUGAGGACCGCGCGUAUGCAAGGAUGCUGGCGUAAUGGUCGUCAGCGACCCGUCUUGAAACACGGACCAAGGAGUCGUCCUAAUAUGCGAGUGUACGGGUGUAAAACCCCUGCGCGUAAUGAAAGUGAACGGAGGUGAGAGCUUCGGCGCAUCAUCGACCGAUCCUGAUGUUCUCGGAUGGAUUUGAGUAAGAGCAUAUUGGGCCGGACCCGAAAGAAGGUGAACUAUGCCUGUAUAGGGUGAAGCCAGAGGAAACUCUGGUGGAGGCUCGCAGCGGUUCUGACGUGCAAAUCGAUCGUCAAAUAU
rnacentral:rRNA from 1 species